rnacentral:tRNA from 1 species
AGCUCAGUUGGUAGAGUGCUUGCCUUGCAUGCAUAAUGCCCUGGGUUCAAUCCCCAG